CCUACGGGUGGCAGCAGUGAGGAAUAUUGGUCAAUGGACGCAAGUCUGAACCAGCCAUGCCGCGUGCAGGAUGACGGCUCUAUGAGUUGUAAACUGCUUUUGUACGAGGAUAAACCCCGAUACGUGUAUCUGUUUGAAUGUAUCUUACGAAUAAGGAUCGGCUAACUCCGUGCCAGCAGCCGCGGUAAUACGGAGGAUCCGAGCGUUAUCCGGAUUUAUUGGGUUUAAAGGGUGCGUAGGCGGUUUGAUAAGUUAGAGGUGAAAUGUUGGGGCUCAACCCUGAAACUGCAUGUGAUACUGUUGGACUAGAGAAUAGUUGCGGUAGGCGGAAUGUAUGGUGUAGCGGUGAAAUGCUUAGAGAUCACACAGAACCCCGAUUGCGAAGGCAGCUUACCAAACUAUAUCUGACGUUGAGGCACGAAAGCGUGGGUAGCAAACAGGAUUAGAUACCCGGGUAGUC
rnacentral:rRNA from 1 species